rnacentral:rRNA from 1 species
GUGCCAGCCGCCGCGGUAAUACCAGCUCUCCGAGUGGUGGGGAUGAUUAUUGGGCCUAAAGCAUCCGUAGCCGGCUGGACAAGUCCCCUGUUAAAUCCAACGAUCCAAUCGUUGGUCUGCGGGGGAUACUGUCCGGCUUGGGGGCGGGAGAGGCCGCCGGUAUUUCCGGGGUAGGGGUGAAAUCCUAUAAUCCCGGGAGGACCACCAGUGGCGAAGGCUGUCGGCUAGAACGCGCCCGACGGUGAGGGAUGAAAGCUGGGGGAGCGAACCGGAUUAGAUACCCGGGUAGUCCCAGCUGUAAACGAUGCAGGCUAGGUGUUAGGGCGGCUACGUGCCGCUCUAGUGCCGCAGGGAAGCUGUUAAGCCUGCCGCCUGGGGAGUACGGUCGCAAGGCUGAAACUCAAAUGAAUUGACGGGG